rnacentral:rRNA from 1 species
GACGAACGCUGGCGGCGUGCCUAAUACAUGCAAGUAGAACGCACAGUUUAUACCGUAGCUUGCUACACCAUAGACUGUGAGUUGCGAACGGGUGAGUAACGCGUAGGUAACCUGCCUGGUAGCGGGGGAUAACUAUUGGAAACGAUAGCUAAUACCGCAUAAUAUUGAUUAUUGCAUGAUAAUUGAUUGAAAGAUGCUAUUGCAUCACUACCAGAUGGACCUGCGUUGUAUUAGCUAGUAGGUGAGGUAACGGCUCACCUAGGCGACGAUACAUAGCCGACCUGAGAGGGUGAUCGGCCACACUGGGACUGAGACACGGCCCAGACUCCUACGGGAGGCAGCAGUAGGGAAUCUUCGGCAAUGGACGAAAGUCUGACCGAGCAACGCCGCGGGAGUGAAGAAGGUUUUCGGAUCGUAAAGCUCGGUUGUAAGAGAAGAACGGGUGUGAGAGUGGAAAGUUCACACUGUGACGGUAUCUUACCAGAAAGGGACGGCUAACUACGUG